rnacentral:lncRNA from 1 species
UAAAUUUUUUGUCAAUUAAAUUAUUUUAUUGGGCAGGGUACAAAUUGAAGUUUAAGAUGUAAAUGUGCAUAAAGAAUCGAAUCCUGAAAGAAAUAAAGAUAAAAUGGAAACAAAUGAAAUUGAUGGGCACGGAUAGGGAUGGCAAAAAUCCCCACGGGGACGGGUACCCUUGGGGAUUUUCCCCAUUCGGGGAGGGUAUGAGAAUAAUUUCAUACCCAAUUUCUUAUUCGGGGAAGGGACGGGGACAUUUUUUUACCCAAUUUCUUAUUCGGGGAGGGGACGGGGAUGAGGUUGAAAUACAAGUAUGCAACCCAAUAGGGGGGGUGAAUUGGGAUUCUAAAAAAUUAUUCAAUUUAUAAAGAAAAACUUAAAGCAAAUAUAAUCCAAGUUCAAAGCAAUAACAAUUAAGUUGAUCACAAUGUAAAAAGAUAAGGGAAGAGAAAUUCAAACACAGAGAUUUUUACGUGGUUCGGCCAACCUCGCCUACGUCCACGCCUCCAAGCUUUCCGGGCUUGAGGAUUCCACUAAGCAAGCCUCCAAGGCUUCAAAUGCUUACACUUGACUUCCAAUGUGUCAAUAACCUUUACAACAAGAGAUUAUCUCAAUCUCUUUAACCCAAGUAUAUCCCAACACUUACAAUCACUCAAAACAAAAGAUUUCAAAUUUGUUUUGCCUCUCACAAUAUAUAAGAUUACACAAUGAUGCCCAAUAUGUGAAUAGAUGAAGCAAGAAUGUGUUCUAAGCUCUAUGAAGAUUGUAUUCUCGAAUAUAAGCUCAAUAGUCGUGUUGUGAUCAAUCUUCUUUGAAUUUGAAUGAGCUUAUUUAUAUUUGGAGCUGAAAAACUAGUCGUUAAUAACUGUCGGCCCGAAAACGGUUCGCCGUUAACCAUUAACGGUUAACCGUUUAGGGUGGUCAAAAGUUACCGUUGGGCCAAAAUUCAAAUAAACGGUGUGCCGUUUAUGGUUACCCUUUCGCCGUUAAAUUCCAGAGACCUGCAAGAUGAACAUCAGUUAUCCGUUUAAAUAAAACGGUUAAGGAGUUGCAUGAAGUGACUUCUCUGGAUAUUAUCGGUUAACCGUUUGUAAUAAACAGUUCGCCGUUUGUUUCCAGUAACCUGCAAAAUAAUUUAGUCUUAUCCGGUUUUGUUAAUCAGUGCCAGAGGAGGACAACCUUCAAUUCUGGAUGUUAUCGGUUAACCGUUUAAAUAAACGGUUCACCGUUAAAUUCCAGUAGCCUUCCCAUUUUUUUUGUGUUUUCAGUUUUUCAUAAACGGUUAGAGCUUAGGCAAUAUGUUGUUCUCUAGUAUUAAUCGGUUAACCGUUUAAGAGAAAACGGUUCACCGUUUAUUUCCAGAAUCACAUUUUAAACCAGAUUUUGCAGAGAAUCUUUUUCUAAGUUGAAAGUCCAACUUUUAUGAAUAAGAAUGGAAUGAUUGUUAAGGCUUUCGUUUAUUAAGGAAUAGCUCCAACAUUUUUAUCAAACAAAAACCAUUUAAAAUUUGUUAUCAUCAAAAUCAAUAUUAUUAACAUAUACAUGUUAACAGAGGUAGAAUC